AAGUCGAACGAGAAGCUCUUCUGUAGCAAUACAGAGGCGCUUCUAGUGGCGUACGGGUGAGUAACACGUGGGCAACCUGCCCUUGAGUUCGGGAUACCCUCUCGAAAGGGAGGCUAAUACCGGAUACGUUCCUCGGGUCGCGAGAUCUGGGGAGGAAAGGUGGCGAAAGCUGCCGCUCUUGGAGGGGCUCGCGGCCUAUCAGCUAGUUGGUGAGGUCACGGCUCACCAAGGCGAUGACGGGUAGCUGGUCUGAGAGGACGACCAGCCACACGGGAACUGAGACACGGUCCCGACUCCUACGGGAGGCAGCAGUGGGGAAUUUUCCGCAAUGGGCGAAAGCCUGACGGAGUGACGCCGCGUGGGGGACGAAGGCCUUCGGGUCGUAAACCCCUGUCAGAGGGAAAGAAGGGUCUCGGCGUGAAUAGCGCCGGGAUCUGACGGUACCUUCAGAGGAAGCCCCGGCCAACUCUGUGCCAGCAGCCGCGGUAAGACAGAGGGGGCAAGCGUUGCUCGGAAUCACUGGGCGUAAAGGGCGCGUAGGCGGGAUGGCAAGUCGGUCGUGAAAUCCCUGGGCUCAACUCAGGGGGGUCGGCCGAUACUGCCGUUCUUGAGGGAUGCA
rnacentral:rRNA from 1 species